GAUAAACGCUGGCGGUGUGCUUUAUGCAUGCAAGUCGAACGAAUCAUUUCGGUGGUUAGUGGCGAACGGGUGAGUAACACGUAAGUAACCUGUCCUCAAGUGGAGAAUAACUCUGAGAAAUUGGAGCUAAUACUGCAUGUGGUGGUGGGGGUAACGCACUAUCAUUAAAGCCGCAAGGCGCUUGAGGAGGGGCUUGCGUCCGAUUAGCUUGUUGGUGAGGUAACGGCCCACCAAGGCUCCGAUCGGUAGCUGGUUUGAGAGGACGAUCAGCCACACUGGAACUUAGACACGGUCCAGACUCCUACGGGAGGCAG
rnacentral:rRNA from 1 species